UCAAGAUAAAAAGAGCGUAGGGCGAAUGCCUUGGCAUCAAGAGCCGAAGAAGGACGUGGCAAGCUGCGAAAAGCUGUGGAUAGCUGCAAACAAGCGUUGACCCACAGAUAUCCGAAUGAGGGAACUCGGCGGUGGUAAUGCGCCGUCACCGUAUAAUGAAUAGAUAGUUAUACGGAGGGAACCCGGUGAACUGAAACAUCUAAGUAGCCGGAGGAAAAGAAAGAAAGAUCGAUUCUCCUAGUAGCGGCGAGCGAACGGGGAAGAGCCCAAACCGAAAGUCUUCGGAUUUUCGGGGUUGCGGGCCGACGGACGUGAUCUGAUGAGUUUAGCAGAAUAGGUAUGGAAAUACCAGCCGAAGAGAGUAAAAGCCUCGUAAGCGAAAAACAAGUCAGCACAGUCGGUACCAGAGUACCACCGGACACGUGAAACCCGGUGGGAAGCAGGUGGGACCACCCACCAAGGCUAAAUACUACUUGAUGACCGAUAGCGAAUAGUACCGUGAGGGAAAGGUGAAAAGAACCCCGGGAGGGGAGUGAAAGAGAACCUGAAACCCUAUGCUUACAAGCAGAUGGAGCACUAUUAGAGAGUGUGACAUUGUACUUUUUGUAGAACGGGCCAGCGAGUUACGAUAUGCAGCGAGGUUAAGGCGUUAAGCGCCGGAGCCGCAGGGAGACCGAGUCUUAAUAGGGCGCGAGUUGUAUGUUGUAGACCCGAAACCGGGCGACCUACCCAUGAGCAGGUUGAAGCGGUGGUAAGACACCGUGGAGGACCGAACCACACGCACGUUGAAAAGUGCGGGGAUGACUUGUGGGUAGCGGAGAAAUUCCAAUCGAGCUCGGAGAUAGCUGGUUCUCCUCGAAAUAGCUUUAGGGCUAGCCUCACUUGAAGAUAUAUGGGGGUAGAGCACUGAAUGGGCUAGGGGGUCUCAAAGCUUACCGAACCUUAUCAAACUACGAAUACCAUAUAUUACCUAAGUGGGAGUCAGACGGCGUGAGAUAAGUUUCGUCGUCAAAAGGGAAAGAGCCCAGAUCAUCAGCUAAGGCCCCAAAGUGCAGGUUAAGUGGAAAAGGAUGUGGGACUGCAUAGACAACUAGGAUGUUGGCUUAGAAGCAGCCACUCAUUUAAAGAGUGCGUAAUAGCUCACUAGUCGAGUGGUCCUGCGCCGAAAAUGUCCGGGGCUAAAACCUGCCGCCGAAGCUAUGGGUGCACGUAAGUGCGCGGUAGAGGAGCAUCGUGUAUUGGCAGAAGCGAUACCGAGAGGAGUCGUGGACGAUACAGGAGAGAGAAUGCUGGCAUGAGUAGCGAGAGGGAGGUGAGAAUCCUCCCCAUCGAAAGCCUAAGGUUUCCUGGGGAAGGCUCGUCCACCCAGGGUAAGUCGGGACCUAAGCCGAGGACUAGAUGGUCGUAGGCGAUGGACAACAGGUUGAUAUUCCUGUACUACCUUUAGCGUUAAAACGAGGCAGUGACACAGGAGGAUAGGCAGAGCGGGUUGAUGGUAGAACCCGUCCAAGCAUUUAGGGAGACAGAGUAGUGAAGUACGCUUUGUUGAUAAUUCUGAGAUGUGAUGGGGACAGAAAAUAAGUAUGGAAGCUGCUGAAUCCACACUGGCGAGAAAAGCUGCUAGGAGCGAAGAGGUACCCGUACCGCAAACCGACACAGGUAGGCGAGGAGAGAAUCCUAAGAUGAGCGAGAUAACCAUUGUUAAGGAACUCGGCAAAAUGACCCCGUAACUUAGGGAGAAGGGGUGCCUAGAAAUAGGUCGCAGAGAAUAGGUCCAAGCGACUGUUUAGCAAAAACACAGGUCUGUGCGAAAUCGAGAGAUGAAGUAUACGGGCUGACGCCUGCCCAGUGCCGGAAGGUUAAGGGGAAAUGUUAGUCGAAAGGCGAAGCAUGGAACUUAAGCCCCGGUGAACGGCGGCCGUAACUAUAACGGUCCUAAGGUAGCGAAAUUCCUUGUCAGGU
rnacentral:rRNA from 1 species